GUCAUUCCAGUUUGAACAUGGAACAAACGGAACGAACAACGCAUGCCUAAAGAAAAUUCUCUGGAGAGUUGGUCAGGACUUCGAAGAGGAGAAGGAAGCAUAUAGUCUAGCCAAGGAUACAUACUAAGAUGAAAUGGCUGCUUGAAGUCUGCGACCCAUAGACAUCACCAGGUGCUGACCGUCGUCUCUGGUGAUGCUUUGCCAGUCCUGUACUGCAGCCAUCUUUGGCUCUUCCUUGUUUCGGAGGGUUGCAUAUUUGGCACACUGCAGACUAGGAUUCAUAAGCACACCCUGUUCUGGCCAACAUCCUCACAAGAAAAUAAAGAAUAAAUAAAUGACCUGAUAGAAGGGGAAUUGUAGAAAUUAGAGGGCAAGGAUUGAGAUGACUUUACAAGAGCCUUGCUUUGUGGGAAUGCCGGCUCUGAAAUUUUGGACCAACAGUGGCAUGUUGGGAAUAGAGCAGAACGCGUUUGCUGACAGCCCUGAUCAACAUUAUUUUCCUCCCCAGACAUUUGAUCCAUUGCAGCAACAUUUGGGUGAUUCUCAGAGUCAAUUACGCCAAGAAAACCAAAAGGGCUUGAUCUGCCACACAGAAUGCUAAAUCCCCUCAUCGACAUGUCAAACAGCGUCAGGAUUAAAAUGGCUGAAUACUCCUGUCAUCAACUCCGUUUCUGCAAAAUACAUGAAAGCGACAUCACAUAAAUGCACAUUGGUAUAAAUAAUUAGGGAAAUAAAAUUUGGUGCAGAAAAGGCUAUGUUUUUUUCUCUGCUGUGAUAAUAAAUAAAGAACACGCGAUUUAUAGUCCAAUUUCCACUCCUGGUGCAAUUCACUGACAGUGGGAGGAUCAGGCAGGUAACUUUCAAAGUCUUUCAAGCCAAUCUCAUAUAAUCUAUAGGGCGCCGGUGCAAACCGAUCCAGAGUGAGACUCAGGGACCUCUUGGUAAGAUAAAGUUUAAUCAAACUAUCAAACUCUCAUUAGACAACAAGACAUAAACUACCAUAAAAUCAUGAAUUUGG